ensembl:snRNA U6 U6 spliceosomal RNA
UUGCUUGCUAUGGCAGCACACAUAUUAAAAUUGGAACAAUACAGAGAUUAGCAUGGCCCCUGCACAAGGAUAGGAUAAAACACAAAUUCAUGAAGUGUUCCAUAUUUUU